rnacentral:rRNA from 1 species
GACGAACGCUGGCGGCGUGCUUAACACAUGCAAGUCGAACGGAGUGGCGAACGGGUGAGUAUUACGUGAGUAACCUGCCAUCAACUGUGGGAUAAGCCUGGGAAACUGGGUCUAAUAAUGCAUCGGGGGGGAUGGGCUCGCGGCCUAUCAGCUUGUUGGUGGGGUGAUGGCCGACCAAGGGGGUGACGGGUAGCCGGCCUGGGCGGGUGGUCGGCCAGUUUGGGACUGCGAUACGGCCCAGACACCUACGGGAGGCAGCAGUGGGGGAUAUUGCACAAUGGGCGCAAGCCUGAUGCAGCGACGCCGCGGGAGGGAUGAAGGCUUUCUGGUUGUAUACCUCUUGCAGUACAGAACGGGUAUGUGCAGAAGAAGCGCCGGCUAACUACGUGCCAGCAGCCGCGGUAAUUC